rnacentral:lncRNA from 1 species
UUCUUUUUUAAUAAUGACAGGCUUUUACAUGUUCUGAAUGAAUAUUGACAUCUGUUUUGACAGUAUUUGUUCAGUGUUUUCAUAGUAAUUAUUUUUGAAAAAGGAAAAAACAGUUUGAAAUGCUACUCUAGGCUGAGUUCCAAUGAGGAUAAUUACAUGCUACCUCCUACUAAUCCCCUUCCAGCAUUGCUGCUUAUAAUAUUCCUUGGCUGUUGUCUUUAAACUAUCGCUCACUGCUGCUCAGCAGAAGCCACCCUUCCUUUCAGAGGUGGGUAUGAUUCAUCACUGAGUGACAAAGUCUUUGUGUAUUGUGGAAAUGAAGUUGUCCUGGAAUUUCAAAACUGCUCGCUUUCCGUCUAUAUCCCUUCAAUCAGAUCACAAAUGAUCUAGAGUAGGUCUGCUUUCAAAGUUGGGUUUUCAUUUUUCUAGAGGUGAGAAGAAACUGGAGUAUGCUCUUCAAGCUUUAUUGAAGCAGUCCAGAUAUUUCAUCCAUUAGCAGUGGCCACUUUAUGUAAUUUGAAGACCUGUGAGCCUGAUUUUCCCUGACUGUGCUGUCCAAGAAGCAAGAAGCAAGACCAACUGCUAAUACCUAACAACAUCACUGAAUGGAGACAGUGGCUUCUCUGCAGUUAUGCUGCUUUUUAUGUUGGUGGAGAGCCUGGUCCACAAAGGUGGUAGACACUGAAGGAUGCAGGAUAAUAAUCCAAGAUUUUAAGGGGCGGAGGAAAAAGAAAAAUGAGUGGAAUGCAGUGUAGCACAGCCUUUGAUGAACAGCAGAAGGUUGUUCAACACCACCAUUAAAGAGCUUCUAGCAUAACAUCUUGUGCCUACAUAAGCAAACAAUUUGUCAAGCAGGAAAGAAGAAUUUUGGUUCUGUGCCAUCUGCCUGUUUGAAAUCUUGUCCCACUUGCAGCACAAAAG